rnacentral:rRNA from 1 species
CAUUAACAAGCCGUGGGGAUCAUCUUUGAAAAGAUUGAUCUUACACUUGGCCAACCUUGCUUUACUUUAAACCUGUUGCUUUGGUGGGCCUGCCCACACAGGGCUGCCGGGAGACUUGUAGUUUCCGGGCUAGUGCUCACCAAAGUCUUAUUGAAUUCUACAAGAUGUUUUUUUGCUGUCUGAGCAUGCAAGUGCAAAUUUUAAUUAAAACUUUCAACAACGGAUCUCUUGGUUCUGGCAUCGAUGAAGAACGCAGCGAAAUGCGACAAGUAAUGUGAAUUGCAGAAUUCCGUGAAUCAUCGAAUCUUUGAACGCAUAUUGCGCCCUCUGGUAUUCCGGAGGGCAUGCCUGUCCGAGCGUCAUUACUAUCCUCAAGCACGGCUUGUGUGUUGAGCAUCUGUUCUUUAAUGGACAUGCUUGAAAUGCAGUGGCAGUGCUGUAUCUGGUGCCCGAGCGUUAUAGGGCUUUGUCACCCGCUCCGUUGGCCCCAGUCAGCAUUUAGGCCCUAUUAAGUAUUAAUCUUAGAACUGACCUCGGAUCAGGCAAGAAUACCC